AAUGAACGUUGGCGGCAGGCUUAACACAUGCAAGUCGAGCGCCCCGCAAGGGGAGCGGCAGACGGGUGAGUAACGCGUGGGAAUCUACCCAUCUCUACGGAAUAACGCAUGGAAACGUGUGCUAAUACCGUAUACGUCCUUCGGGAGAAAGAUUUAUCGGAGAUGGAUGAGCCCGCGUUGGAUUAGCUAGUUGGGGGGGUAAAGGCCUACCAAGGCGACGAUCCAUAGCUGGUCUGAGAGGAUGAUCAGCCACACUGGGACUGAGACACGGCCCAGACUCCUACGGGAGGCAGCAGUGGGGAAUAUUGGACAAUGGGCGCAAGCCUGGUCCAGCCAUGCCGCGUGAGUGAUGAAGGCCCUAGGGUUGUAAAGUUCUUUCACCGGUGAAGAUAAUGACGGUAACCGGAGAAGAAGCCCCGGCUAACUUCGUGCCAGCCGCCGCCGUAAAAC
rnacentral:rRNA from 1 species